GCCUGGGUGGCUCAGUGGUUGAGCGUCUGCCUUUGGCUCAGGAUGUGAUCCCAAUGCCCUGGGAUCGAGUCCCAUAUCGGGCU
rnacentral:tRNA from 1 species